rnacentral:ribozyme from 14 species
AGUAGGUAGUAGAAGAGGAAGAAGAAGAAGGAGAAGAUGGCAACAACUAUAAUAUUCAUCUUAUAUUUCUUCUUCUUCUUCUUCCUC